rnacentral:lncRNA from 1 species
AGGAUGUAAAAUGUUGACAGCGCCGACGUCUUUCGUCGAGUGAAGCUGCUAUACAAACCACGAUGUUCCACGUUUUUUUCACGCAGAGAGGAAGGGCGAAGGCGAGAGAACGGCGGAGAAUUGCCGGAUCGGCCAUACCUACCCGCGACUCUCUUCCACCCGAACACAAUGACGGCGUCGUUUUCCGCCUUGUCAUUACCUGUAUACUCACCGUUCUCCUUGGAUUUGUCAUUGCUUUCAAAUUCAGGCGUGGCAAGGGAGGCGGAGCUAGACGCACAGGUCGGAUGGCUGGCGGCGAGAAAAAGGAAUGCUUCCUUGCGUACGGGCCACCCGCUUCCUCCGAAAGCCUAGACUCCGUUGUCUUUCUUGUCCUCGAGAGGGUUUCACAAGACUUUAAACACCCAGAACUAGUAUACGAGAACGUCCAUUUAGCCGCGACUCUCGGGGAUGCCGCGUUCGUGUACUGAUUCACGGCGCCGUGGUCCAACAUGGAACUUCCACAUGCGAAGCCAACUGGACAGGAAGUUCACAUCUUCGCACGGAUGAAACAGUUCGCUGCGCUGCUCUGGCCAGGAGAACCUACCGGAUGGAUCUAACGAAAAUAUGCCCGGGCUUAUGACGUAACAAACCACGUUCAACCAGAUCGCGAAACUCAUCGUGAAUGCGACGAAAGAGUCCACAAACACCAAAGCGCUGUGCUUUCGUUUCGGAGGAAUAAACGCCUCGAUCGAACUCGCAGGAGCGAGGCGCGUUCUUUCAAGUGCCUUCCGAAUGGGCGCUAAAAAUGCCAAACUUUUUUUGUGACGUGCAGUAGUUCGUUUUCCAGUCGUUCCUGGUAUCGGGAUAGUUGCGCCCGAUACAACAUGUCAAACGUGGUUUUAUGACUUCCAAAGUCUAUACUCUAACCCUUCCUGGAUUCAGGAUGGAUGCACCUGGAAGGAGGAUUGCAAGAACGGCUGAGCGAAGAGGCAAACGACAAAGCGGACAUGUCAGAACGGACAACGAGAGGCCUUUGUGCGUAGAAGGUCUGUUGUAACCCUGGAGGAGCAAGCCGCACCACGUCGAGGCCAUCGGCCGUCCACAACUCGGGAAAAAGCAGGCGCCGGCAGCGGAGGCAUGCCGAACCACAUGGCGAAAAGCUGGCCCGACGCCCUCGCAGGCGACACUGGGACUGAUGCCCUGUGAAAGGUCGCUCACCACUGCCUUUUUUUAUGUCUGCAAUGACGGUAUUCUUGGCAACGAUGGGAGACCUGCGGGACUAGUGUGGGCGGAUGAAGCGGCCGACGAGAAGGUGCACAGAGACUGGAGAACGGUGAAACAAACGGCAGACACCCUUGUGGACGCCAUAGAGGAAAGCUGCUCUAGAAAGAAAGGUGGAAACCUCUGCAGUAAUGAGCGAAGUAUGUCGCCUUGAGGGGUCAUCCACGCGAAGGAAACGCAGACCAGUUAUCGGAGAGAAAAAAAAAGGACUCCGGGGUCAACUUCAGCACUGCCACAGUCGACGCACUCCGAUUUGAAGAUUCCCAGAGAUUUUUUUGUCCAGCGUUCUCGAGCUUGAGGGGCUCUGGGAGGGAUUCAUGGGAACGCGAUGUGGAUCGUGCCUGUCUGUCAUUGUUGCUUUUCGCUUGUUUGCCCUUUGUUCAAUUCCAGGCACUUGCAAGUGCGUGAAACGGAUAUGUUGUUACUGCACGAUAGUUCCGAUUGUUCUAUAUCAUCGCAUGCAAAACAUGUGGCGCACUCAACUGAGAGUCGAUGUGGAAGUUGAGUGUAAAAUGAGUUCUCGACACAGAAGCAGGUGUUCGCAUCAGUUCCUUGCAUGAGGCUUUUGGCUGUCCACGAGUUUCGACGGCAAGAAACUUGCCGCACGUGAGCUUUCCAUCAGCACUUGCCGUGACCUAAAAGUGACGUGACAGCCUGAAAACUACUGCAAGCGUGCAUUAACGCGGGCUGCCUUCCUUGGCAUGGGGUUGUUGGUUUAUGUGGCCAGCCUAGGCGUCGGAACAAUCGAGGUCGCGGUUGAGGUCGGUAGAUAAGGAAUGUUUCAACAUGAAAAAUGUGGGACAAUGGUUUGUACAAAGAUUUGCUGAAACACUGUAGACAUUUGUUG